rnacentral:misc_RNA from 1 species
GAUGAAGAACGUAGUGAAAUGCGAUAAGUAAUGUGAAUUGCAGAAUUCAGUGAAUCAUCGAAUCUUUGAACGCACAUUGCGCCCGCCAGUAUUCUGGCGGGCAUGCCUGUUCGAGCGUCAUUUCAACCAUCAAGCCCCCGGCUUGUGUUGGGGACCUGCGGCUGCCGCAGGCCCUGAAAAGCAGUGGCGGGCUCGCUGUCACACCGAGCGUAGUAGCAUACAUCUCGCUCUGGGCGUGCGGCGGGCUCCAGCCGUUAAAGCACCCACCUUUCGCAAGGUUGACCUCGGAUCAGGUAGGAAUACCCGCUGAACUUAAGCAUAUCAAUAAGCGGAGGA